UGCGUGGGAAGUCAUCUUUCAAAAAGCGACAAAAAAACCAAGCGGGAAGAACAGGCGGCUCCGUAGAGGCCCGGGGCCAUGCGAUAACGAGCCGUUUGAAGACGUUUUUUGUUACUUUUCAAACUCUC
ensembl:ncRNA T03G6.4 ncRNA